AUGAACGCUGGCGGCGUGCCUAAUACAUGCAAGUCGAGCGAACGGACGAGAAGCUUGCUUCUCUGAUGUUAGCGGCGGACGGGUGAGUAACACGUGGAUAACCUACCUAUAAGACUGGGAUAACUUCGGGAAACCGGAGCUAAUACCGGAUGAUAUUUUGAACCGCAUGGUUCAAAAGUGAAAGAAGGUCUUGCUGUCACUUAUAGAUGGAUCCGCGCUGCAUUAGCUAGUUGGUAAGGUAACGGCUUACCAAGGCAACGAUGCAUAGCCGACCUGAGAGGGUGAUCGGCCACACUGGAACUGAGACACGGUCCAGACUCCUACGGGAGGCAGCAGUAGGGAAUCUUCCGCAAUGGGCGAAAGCCUGACGGAGCAACGCCGCGUGAGUGAUGAAGGUCUUCGGAUCGUAAAACUCUGUUAUUAGGGAAGAACAUAUGUGUAAGUAACUGUGCACAUCUUGACGGUACCUAAUCAGAAAGCCACGGCUAACUACGUG
rnacentral:rRNA from 1 species